GGCAAAUUCAGGCAUUUUCAUCUGUAUUUGGAGCAGCAUGUUCUUUCAUCUCUGAGAGACACGAGGCAGGUAAGAAGGUCGCUGUGAUUUGAUCCCUUUUGAUUACCCUGGAAUUUGAGCCAGUGUGUGAGCACCGGGGAAGCAGUGCGUGCUAAAUCCAGGCAAAAUCUUCAAACCUCCGUGUGAAGGUACCACACUGCACACCAAGCAUCUGCAAAGCCCUUCUUCCACCUGUGCACUGUGACCGCUGCGAGCCUGGGACUCUGCUGCACCGCUCCAAACGGGAAUGCAGGCAUCAUGUCUGCAUAUGUGAAGGGUACUUAAAAACGAUUGUUAGUAGGAUCAGAUUAGCAGUAAUUUAAUUUUAAUGGGAAUGUUUACGCUGAAACAUCUACAAGUACAAAGAGCUACAAAUCAUAUCUGCCUUUAAUUAAUUCUCUUGAUAAAUCAGCUUCUCAGACUGCACCAAAUUACCUUAAUGAGGAAAAAUUCUUGUUUAUAUCAACAACGUUUAGCCAAAUGUGGGAUGUUUAUAGCAAUAAUUCAACAGUGUCCUUCAAGGAGCACAAACAACCAUGAUGGAUGUUCAGGUUGUGCUGCUUUUUCUGUUCUCUUCCCUCCCAUCAAAUUAAUAAUAUGUUUGGUUUAAAAAUAAAUUGAGAUGUUUAGGGUAAGCAGUAGUAUUGCUGAAGGGGAAAUGGGCUAAAUUAUAGCACUAAAUUAUUUGCUUAGGUAGGCGAAGGUCCCACCCAGUUUGGAAAAGGCCUUUUAUAAAUCAGACUCACCCUGAAGAUUGGCUUUAUUUUAGGGACACUUUGGUUAAUUUUUUAUGUUAGCAACAGACUAAACUUUAGGUAAAGCUUGGUCAGUCUGAGAAAUUUCCUUUCUCUUCCAGCGCCACAUGAGCAACCCGUUCUCCGCAGCGUACACCUGCUGGCACCAUGCAGCCAGGCUCCAUCCCGCUACGCGGCAUCCCACACGUGAUUUUCAGUUUAACUUUAACUUGAUUUUCAGUACAUGUCACUGCCCUUCCCUCCAUGCUGCCACUGCCCUUGCCAGCAGGGCUCAAAGCAUGUGCUGCAGGCACCGACUCCUGUGAGGGCAGCUCCACCAGGUGAGAUGUGUGCCUCUGACCAAGGCAUGUACCAUGCGAUGGCAGCUUUGCUGGGGAAGUGCUGGUGUUUCUGGCUUAUCUGUGUGCUGCAUGUAUCAGGGCUAUUGACUCAAGAUGUAAGAUUUCUGAUGUCCAGCACAAAGUUUUGCCUGUCUCUGGGCGCAGAUAUUGCUGAGCUCAAUGACAGUUCAGGGUAGGCAUGGUGGCAGAGGAGGAGAAUGCAUAUAAAAGAACAUAUGAAAAAGGUGGUGUGGAAAAUAGACUUUUUUUUUUUUUUUUUUUUUUUUUUUUGCAAGGAGAAUGCCAUCUUUCCUGACAGCGUAAGGCUGGGGCACCUCCACCUUUGUGGAGGUUUUUACUGCCUUGCUCGGUCUCUCAUUUCUUCUUUAACUGCAGCAAGGAAGCUAUACAUGGGUCUGUUUGUGAUUAGGGUUAAGAAAGACGUUUUCAGCAGACGCUAUUUUCUAAUGGUUUUUGUGUUUUGUUCUCUGACUUUUUGAAAUCAGUCUUUCCAACAUACUCACUGUUUGAAAUCUCUCUCCUUUAACUUUUUUCAGCUCAUAAUUUGUCAGCAUGCUUUAGAAAGCAUUCCCUGUAUUUUUCUUUAAUUGGAAUUCAUACAUUUGGGGUUUAUACAGAAGUCAUGUACUAUUUUUACAUGGCUUGUUUAAGUUAGCAUCCUGCUGAAAAGGCCUCAUAAGUAUUUGCCUAUAUUUAUGAAUUCAGUAUUUCCUUUCUGAAAAUAUUUUCCCAUCAUUCACUUUUAGAAGAGUUCUUGCCCAUCAUGCGGUAUACCCCAACAGCUUCUGGAGAACGUGAGUAUAAGGACAGAAAUAGGUAUUUGAUUAAUUGGUUUUAAAAAACUGAAUGGACACACCAAAGCCUUGUUCAUCCUAUUGAAGAACACCAAUUGUCUUACUCACAAUGAAAAUGGGACUUUUUCAGGUCCCCCUUCCAUUUCAGUUUUACAGCACCAUUGAUUUGGUUUGUCUUUGCACAUAUUUCUGCACAGAUUUGAAAAAGUUAUAUUCAUCCUAGUGAAUAAUAAAUGUUUAAUAGCAAAGAGGUCACACUUGAAAUAAACCUCAGAAUCUUUUAUGCUCUUGUUGCAAUAUUAUAAAUUGUAGUGGGAAAAAGAGUCCUUGUCAGAACA